AGUAGAAAGACAUCCAGGUUGUCAUUAGCUGAAAUGGGACCGAUCUCUGGUGAAAGGCCCCCAGAUUCAACUGAGGCCAAGACCUCAGAACGUCAUUGGACCAGCAUCCUCAAAAAGAAAGUCAACCCAGUCCCAAAGAGAGCACAGAGGGUCUUUCCCAGGGCAGGACACCCCAAGGCCGGUGAAGAAGGCUUUGAGGCAGUUGCCUCCCUUACCUGAGCUGGAGAAGAGCAGUGUCCGACGACACAGCAGCUACACUGGGUCCGCAGUGUAUGACGUUGUCGCCACAGAGGUUUGUA